rnacentral:lncRNA from 1 species
CUUCUCUCCUCUUUUCCCUUUUCUUUUUCGAGUGGGAUUUUUCCCUUUGCUCUUGGUGGGGUUAUGGGAGUCCGGCUCCCGUAGGUGAAGUCGGGGCGAAGUCCAGCUCCCGUAGGAGUCCGGAUGGAGUCUACCUGCAAUUAAAGUCAGGGGCGAAGUCCGGCUCCCGUAGGAGUCCGGACGAAGCUUGCCAGCGGUCG